UCCAGAUUUCACAUUAUUUGCAAAAGUAAAGUUGAAAGUGUGCUGGAAAUAAAUAGUUGGCAGAAAACACUACUGAGAGACAGUUUCAUGCUUCAACUGCGACUGAAGAGGCAAUUUUCUUUUUUUUUUGUGGUCAGAAUUUGGACGGUAUCAAUUUCCUGCGCGUGGUUGACUCAAGCAAAUGACACGUUGUUCACAGCAUCACAGACACACGUAUGACGUGGAAGCACAGAGCGGAGAGACAAAAACAAACCUUUUCACUUCCCUUCGGGUGAGCAAACGAGAGAGCGAAGGGAAAGACGUUAGACGCCCGGUAAGUCAUGCUCAAACAGAAUGCAACAGCUUGACAUGUCACAAUGCCAAACAUUAGAACAUUUCUCACAUGUUGAGUUUAUGUUUGGGAUUUUUUUUUGGUGGUUGCCGAAAGGGUUCAUGGCAGGAUGCAAUCAAACAAGGGGACGUUGCAUCGGAACCAGGACAAUCUGAUACUAAAACAGGUGCUGCGUCCACAGGGAGCCGCUGUGACGGUCUGCAGGCCCCCACCGAGUGACCUCCCCGCGUGACCCCGCCGGCCCCACCGGCCCAUCCGCCACACAGCACGUCUGCUGCCUGUCUGACAUCGAACCGAGGCGAGCGACGGCAUUGACUGAGAGGACUGAGACGAGAGAGAAAACUAGUUCCUUUUUGUCAGAUAGGAGAGAAGACGGGUGAGAAGACAUGGCGUCAGUCCCGUACCUGCGCAGCGAGUCCCAACAAAGGAAACUGAACCAUGCCAAGUGUGUGUGUCGUCAUAGCGGAGCUUCAUAAGAAUGAUGGCUUUGCUUUACAUGCCUGUGUGAGUAUUGAGUGAGUACUGCAUUAAUGUCUAAUAGUGCUCAUCUUAACCACCUCCAAUAGCACAGGGUAACUACUGACUAGGACACACACACACACACACACAGAAGUUCACACAGGAAUAUUCAGCCUGGCGGUGGUUUUCUCCAAAGCACCCACAGACUACUCGCUGCACUAGAUUUGAAGCCAGAUGUCUUAUUAAAGAGGCAACUUGUGACAAAACAUGGCAGGAAAAAGCAAAAGUAGUUUGGGAUUUGAGUCUCACAUUGAGCUGCAGAGUUCAGAAACGUCUGUCUCACAAAGGGCAGGCUGGUUUGAGCGAUGCAUCUUUCUCACAUAGCUUUCUGAACUCUGUGUAUUCAGUGCUUUGUUGUGCACAGAAACGUGGAAUUGUAGGUCCAUUUGAAACAACAGUGACAUUCAGGUUUCAGGAGAAUCAUUCCACUGAUGAGGUUUGUCAAGAACCAGCUAAAUUUCAUCUGAUCUGUAAACUCAUCUGAAAAAGUGCCAACAGAACAUUAGUUCUUAAAGGACCAACAUCUUAAGCAACCAAACGUCAACUGCAAAAACACAAAUACACAACAGAUUUAAUAAACUGUUUAAUAAACUGAUUUAAACAAUAAACAGAAGGAGGAACAACACAUGGAUCAACGCAUUCAUUGGUAGGAAAGUAGUGAUUGAUACUUAUAAUACCAAGAACAAGUAAUUCAUUACACAGAAUGUGUCCCUUUCAAAAAGUAUCCAUUUACUAGCAUAAGAUACGAAUUCUUAACUGAGAACAGGCUGAAUCUGCGCUUAAUGCUCCCGUCCAACAACUGGAAUCUUGUAUUCCCUUUUCUGUGAGUGUUUAUUCUUUUGUGAAACAACGGUCACAUCGACGUGCCGUCUGUCUCGGAUUCAAACAGCAGUUGUUGUUUUUUUAUAACUGUGCUUUUUAAAAGUAUAAAAAUAAAGCUAAACUUUCCCUGGAGGGAAACAUUCUACUGACCUAAGACAUCAUUGUAACAUUUCACUGGGUUAGUUCUUUUUACAUAAAAAAAAAUAAAAAA